ACUGCCACGGAUGGCAGUGGUUCCAUGCAGUAGCGAUGUUUUAAAGCAAGGUAGUUUGUAAAGCUUUAAAACUCGUAGGGGACUUUUUGACACGGAUGUCAAAAAGUCCCCCGUG
rnacentral:sRNA from 1 species